rnacentral:lncRNA from 1 species
GGCUCGAAACAUUCAAAAUGCGGCUAUAAAGGCAACUUUUGGUCAAGCGGCAGACAGCUACGUGCAGCAGAUGCAAUUUCUGCACGACAGUAUCGACCCUCAAGCCAUGCGUCUAAGCGGGGCCGAGUUCUUCUAGCUGGACAAGAGCCUUCUUAUUUCGAAGUCGGCUCAGUCAUUACGUACACUGUCAUUCUGGUGCAGACCAAUGACGACAUCUCUUCUGGGACUGGCGGUAGCAUGGUGAACACAAGGACGUGAACGAC